rnacentral:rRNA from 1 species
UAUUCCCCACUGCUGCCUCCCGUAGGAGUCUGGGCCGUGUCUCAGUCCCAAUGUGGCCGUUCACCCUCUCAGGCCGGCUACUGAUCGUCGCCUUGGUGGGCCGUUACCCCGCCAACUAGCUAAUCAGACGCGGGUCCAUCCUGUACCACCGGAGUUUUUCACACUGCUCCAUGCGGAGCUGUGCGCUUAUGCGGUAUUAACAGCCGUUUCCAACUGUUAUCCCCCGGUACAGGGCAGGUUACCCACGUGUUACUCACCCGUCCGCCACUAAAAUUACAAAAUUCCAUCCGAAAACUUCCUUCUGCAAUUUCCGUUCGACUUGCAUGUGUUAGGCACGCCGCCAGCGUUCAUCCUGAGCCAA